AAAAAGACAAACCCUGGUUUCCGUGCCCAACGUUUGACCGUCCGUCUUAUUUAAAAAAAUUAUAAAAAAAUUUAAAAAGACAAGUCACGCAUAAAAUAUUAAUCAUGUUUUAUCAUCUAACAUAAAUUAAAAAAAAUUCAUGUAAGACGGACAGUCAAAGUUGCACACGAAAACCCAGGGUUUGCCUUUUU
rnacentral:pre_miRNA from 1 species